CUUUAUUAGCCAAAAUCACUGUGAAAACACCCUCCUCCCUGAUUAUUUAGCCAGACCUCAAUUAAACAAAAAAUAAUAAUUAUCUUCACAGGGUAUCAAGGUCUGAUAAGAUGUGGGUGACACGAGGCUAAUUUGUUCGAGGCUCUCUUCCAAAAGGUAUAUUGGAUCCUGAAUCCCUGAUUCGCAGAAGCCCCUGGCGACACUGGGUUUCAUCUCUCGCAAGAACCCCUUCUACCUCUUGUUGGCUCUCUUUAAAGGGUUUUCUUUUUCUGGUAACAUGUGUCGGUAUCAAGCGUGGGAAGAUGAUUCGCUACAGGGCGAAAAUUAUAUACAAAGUACCCAGGAUGGCAUAGAUGUUACAGGGAUAAGGUGGGCAGCGAGACUUGCUAAUUUGGAAGAGCGGAUGACUCGAGUGGAGGCUAGGGUCGAGAGACUCGAGGCAAGGAUGUCAUAUUUGCAAAAAGGAAUGCGUGUCGUUUGCAUGCUGUUUCUGGUCACUCUUGUGUAUGCAUUCUGGAAGUAGAUGUUUAAGGAAUGAUUUGCUGAUCAGUCUGCUGAAUGCUCAUUUCUAUUAGAAUUCUGUUAGAUUCUUUGAAUUGCAGAAGCAAGUGUAGGCUCUGACAUAUGGAAUAUGCAUCUUUUAUGUGACGCUCUAGAACA